rnacentral:rRNA from 1 species
CGAGUUUACAACUCCCAAACCCCUGUGAACAUACCAAUUGUUGCCUCGGCGGAUCAGCCCGCUCCCGGUAAAACGGGACGGCCCGCCAGAGGACCCCUAAACUCUGUUUCUAUAUGUAACUUCUGAGUAAAACCAUAAAUAAAUCAAAACUUUCAACAACGGAUCUCUUGGUUCUGGCAUCGAUGAAGAACGCAGCAAAAUGCGAUAAGUAAUGUGAAUUGCAGAAUUCAGUGAAUCAUCGAAUCUUUGAACGCACAUUGCGCCCGCCAGUAUUCUGGCGGGCAUGCCUGUUCGAGCGUCAUUUCAACCCUCAAGCCCAGCUUGGUGUUGGGACUCGCGAGUUAAAUCGCGUUCCCCAAAUUGAUUGGCGGUCACGUCGAGCUUCCAUAGCGUAGUAGUAAAACCCUCGUUACUGGUAAUCGUCGCGGCCACGCCGUUAAACCCCAACUUCUGAAUGUUGACCUCGGAUCAGGUAGGAAUACCCGCUGAACUUAAGCAUA